rnacentral:rRNA from 1 species
AGCAGUAAUGAAUCUUCCGCAAUGCACGAAAGUGUGACGGAGCGACGCCGAGUGAAGGAUGAAGUCCCUCGGGAUGUAAACUUCUAAAAUCUGCUAGAAAGUACUGAUCGGCAGACUACAAGUGGCGACUAACUCUGUGCCAGCAGUCGCGGUAAUACAGAGGCCACGAGCGUUAGGCGGAAUCACUGGGCUUAAAGCGUGUGUAGGUGGAUGACUAAGUACCUUGUGAAAUCCCACGGCUCAACCGUGGAACUGCUUGGUAUACUGGUUGUCUUGAGGCACUCAGGGGCGAGCGGAACAGAUGGUGGAGCGGUGAAAUGCGUAGAUAUCAUCUGGAACGCCAAUGGUGAAGACAGCUCGCUGGGGGUGUACUGACACUGAGACACGAAAGCCAGGGGAGCGAACGGGAUUAGAUACCCCUGUAG